AGGGCGUGCUGAGGUCCAUUCCAACACAGCCUGCCUUCUCUCCGGGUGGUCUCGUCUGGGUGAAGCGCCACGACCCUAGCAGCCUGUAACCUAGAUGGGAUGGACCCUACCAGGUGAUGCUGAGCACUCCAACCGCCAUCAAAGUCGCAGGAAAGAGGCACUGGAAAUUGUAACCCCGUCCUCCUCAUGCCUCUCGCCUGGUGGACUAACCAAUGGGAAGGAGAAGGACUUGGGGACUAAGACUCUAUGUCAGCGGCCGAGACCCUGGCUAAUUCUUCACCAUCAAAUGCCGGACUCUUCCCCGGCGGCUCGACCCCUACAUUGCCAAAUGCCUCCUCAAUUUCAUAUCAUAGAGGAGGGUGCUGAAUCAAAGAUUUGAUUCGGGCAUAAGACCAGUAGGGAAUGUGCUAGGGGAGGAAAUGGAACAUG